rnacentral:ncRNA from 1 species
AAGAAGGCAUUGAAGAAGGUCUAGUAGCUAAUUAUAUGGAAAAACUAGAGAGCUGACGGUUGGUGCAAGUCAGUCAAAAAGAUUAGUGAACUCCCCUUCCAGUCUUAAGAGUGAACGCUCGUUCAAGUAACUCUUAACGGGUCACGGCCGUUAUCCGUUUUAAGCGAACAAGUAGUUAACUUGUUAAUUUGGGUGGUACCGCGGGAAAUAUAUCAGCUCUCGUCCCUUGA